UAUGACCUUUUCUCCAGUAAUGUGCAUACUAUUAGGAUUCAGGAGGAAGUUACCCUUUAAGUUUGCAAACUGUUGAUUUUUUUCAUGCUUGAAUAGGAGGUAGAAAAGAAGAACUGAAAAUACAGAUGUUUUGUGAGGACAGAGGUGUUGUACUGCUUGGAUAAAACAGUGUUGAUCUUUACUGCACUUAGUCUCAGCAGAUGUAUGGAAUAGAGAAAGCAGAUGCAUAGAAUGGAGAAACCAGAUGGGAUGUGACCAAGCGUGUUCUUAAUUGAUCUCUGCAUGGAUUUCCAUGAGUAGCAGACAUCGGUCAUCCGUUUGACAACACAAUCCUGUAAAUGGGACUAACAUCAGCAAAUUGUAUAUAUGACAAUCAAGCAGAACUGUCUAUCCUGUUGAGAUUUUCUACUUCAGCAAGGAUUGCAGAUUAGGCGGAUAUUCAACAUUCAUCCCUACUUUUCCAGACUUAAUACAGUGACUUUCUUGUUACCAAAAGAAAAGAGGAAGAAGAAUUGUUUUUACCAGUGGUUGUGGAAGAAGUCUUGAAGCAACUAACUAGAUUCCUUCUCUGCUAAGUACCAGCUGUCUGACCAUGCACCAGGGAGAAAGGAACAUGAGGCAGACUAUAUGUUAAGAAUGGCACCUCUGCCCCGACAAACAACAGGAAAUCAGUGACAGGGAUCUUCAUGGAGAUUUUCCUCUCUGGCAAUCUUGGUGAUCAGUGUGCAUGAAAAGCUGUGAGUAAAAGGGCCUUCUAACUGCAACAGGAGUGGGAUGAAGAAAAAAGGAAUUUGUUCUUUAACACACACAGGCACUAAACAAUAGGAACAGUCUCCUUGUGCCUGUUUACUUUGUCUCAAAUCUUCAUGACAUUUUUGGUCUUUUUAUGAAUGUUGCCUGCUCUCUUUUUUUUCCACAAAUGAGCCUGAAUGCACAGGUAAUCCAAUAAUACUCAAGUGUUGAACUUUUGAAUUGAAAAGUGUUCUAAACCCUUGAGCUAGAUAUAAAACAUCCAAUAUCAUUUCUCUAUGUAGAGAGGGCACAGCAGUCUGAACCAUGCAUAUAGCUGAUUCCUUGCACUAGGACCAUUUAAUCACCAUUUCUUUUCCACAGAAGUUCAUUUUGUUGCAAUUAAAUACACUGUGUUUCCAAUACUAGAGGAAGUUCAGAGUUUUCAGUACUGAUAUCUCAUAGCUCUCCACAGAACAAGCACUGUGGAAAAAAUCAUUGCCUGCACUUUCUUGUAAGACUCCUAUUUUAACCCAUCCUGUCUACUGCUCUGCACUAUGAAAAUCCUUUGCCCUCUGCUCCCUCCAACCCUCACCCUACCUGUCAUUUUUCAUACUUAGUACUGUUUACAUGUUUAAUGGCCAAAAAAAAAAAAAAAACAACGUGAUUUUCUACAGCCCUAAUGGAAGAUGAAUGUGAAAUAUUUGUGACAGGCUCUUUUCAGCUAUGUUUAGGGGCUGUAAAAAGGACACUACUAGUGAAGUAACCUAGGAUUUCAUUUCAGACAGAUUUAUCAGCAAACAGCCAGAGCUUACAUUAAUGAUCCUGAAGCAAUCUGGAAUAUAGAAUUAUGACUGCUAGGGCUAGAAGACCUGAAACAUUUUUUUCUAACAUUUCUAAUCAACUGAAUAAUUCUUCAUACACUACUGUUAUGCUCUUUGUUCCCUGCAUGGUGAGUCCUUUGGCUAAUUGAAUUAGGUGUGAUACAUAUCUAACUCACAUCAGGACUACAGAUGAAUGAAUAAGAAGUGUGUAAGUGCCAUAGUCAGUGAAUUUUGCCAAUAUUCCUACUGUUGUCUGGACAAAGCCACUACUACAUGGCUUUGUGUAUGAUAACUUAAAUAUCUAUCAGCUGCCGAGCAAUCCUUCAUUUAACCUUUCACAUUAUUUUGAGUGACUACACCAGCUAAUAGUACAUUUCUUUUCCUUUAUCAUAAGUGACUUUAACCUGCUAAUCAGAUUCCACAUUUCCUUCCUGAAGGAGAAAGAAUUGACCUUUCAGUGUAAUACCAUUUUAUCAUUUUGCAUCCUUUGAUAGAACCAGAACACGGAGUAAUCUGUCUGUGCAGACAUGACUCACAUUCCAUGACUUGACUCUUCUUCUGAUGCUGCCAGAGAUCCUGGCACCUCACUUUGUAAGAAUAGGACAUAUGCAAUCACAAAGGAAUGAUAAGUAAUAAUCUCUUGCAAACAGAAAGAGAAUGAAUGAAUGAAGAACAUACUAUCUCUCUUAAUCAGGUAUGGAUUUCCUGUGUUCACAGACUUCUGAUCCCACAGGUACUCCUCCAGAGAUAUUUGUGUACUGUCACAAAAUAUAUUUUGAAACAUUUGAAAGAUGUAUUUCAUUCUGAAAAUUAUUUCUUUCAGUGAGGAAGUUAACAGAAAGUAUAAAUUUUCAUUAUAAGGUCAAUCCAUUUACUAUUCGAGAAUGGAUUUCUCUCUCUGUCUUUGUAGCUAAGUGAGCUUAACUUGGUUUCAACUCUCUUCCUCUUAGGAAGUCUACCACUUUCUAAUGACUACCAUCAGAAGCCAUUAGAAAAAAAGCCUUGCCUCCAACACUAGGCAGGUUCAUUUCAUUCAAACUGGAUCCCUAAUCCCUUAGCUAAUCCUUCUGAUGUGGAACAUGUCUGUUUUAGAUGGGCUGAGGCAUCAGAGUCCAGUUUCUGUUGAUAACAGUGUAGUGAAAUCAUGAUCUUAACCUAAAUGAAUCACUAAGGUGAAGAAUGCCCCUAUGUUAAAUGAUUAAAAUAAUGUUAAAACUUUUUGUUAGGUCACAUUUUCCUCAUUGACACAUAAAUGCAGUGGUGUUUCUAUACAGAACUUUCAAAAUGAAUUAUGUUUGGUUUAGAGAUCUGCAUUACACAUCUUCCCAUACUCCUCUCACUUAGAUACUUCCUGCUUUAAUAGGGGAAGUAACUCAAUAUAUUUUUACUGCCCAUAUUUUAAAAUUAGUGUUGUGACAGGGAACUAUGUCAAUGCCUGAGUUUUAAUGACUCUUGAAUUAGUAUUAACUCCCUUCUAACUCCCUUCUUUUUUAUUUUACCUUAUUGAUGGAAACCAUUACACUACAAUAAAAGUUUACUGUGGGGACAACUUGUUCCUGUGGCAAUUUUCCUCUUUCCCUGUAGAAAAGUAACUAUUUUAAAAAACAAACAUCCAAAAAUGAGCAGAAUGGCUCAGCAAGAGUUUUGCUUGGCGGCUGGGACUUGCUUCAGAGUUCCAUUGGUCCUUUGGGAAGUUUCUCAUCAUAAGAUAACCAAUAGGAAUGCACGUAUUUUUUCCCAGGUAAGAAAACACAUCUAAGUCCAAGCUGUGAAAAAUCAAAUCAGUACUGAAGCGAAGCCCAUUGAUUUUCUUUCCCAAAUCAGAAAUGCAAGAAAGCUUGCUUCCUAGGGUAUAUACUCCAAGUGGUCUUCCAAGAAGUCUUCAGUCCUGAAAGCAGACAACAUUUACAGGAUUACUGACAUCAGGAGAAGAGAGGAAGGAAUCAUCAAGUGUCAUUCUACUUUUCCUGACUGCUCAGCAGCUCUGCUUUGCACAGGCAGGCAUUACUUCUUCUUAGCAGUGUGAAAGACGGGCUUAUCUUGAAAAUCUGUCAAAAAUUUUUGGGUAAGUUAACCAACUUGUCUUAUGUACCAUUGAUCAUAUUCUUGAAUGGGUCCACUUGAUUCAGUUCUGCCAAGGGCUGCUGAGUAACUUUUACAAGAUUUCUUUUGGAGGUUAGUUUAUAUGGGCUAGCCAGCAACUUUGAAAAUGAAUAUAGAGCAAAGCUGAUUGCUGUUUUCUCACAUGGCUGUACUUCAGAUGGGUUUGAUCAGGUCUAACCUCAUGCUCAUUUCUGCUAGCUUAAGGAUUUCUGUAUCCAGCAAUCCCAUUUCCUUGAAGUAAUUCUUAGUAUUUCUUUGGGAGAUUGGAUAAAUAACCAAACAAUGAUUAACAUUUAAUCCAAACCACUUCUUAAUCAUUCUCUCUUCAAUUUUUGGAGGGCUGGGAUUAUGACAAGUAUUAGAAGCUCACCAGUGACCUGAAUUAAUUAUGUUUAAUAAGAAAAAAAGAAAGGGGGGAGGGGGAGGGAAGGAGAAGCUUGCGUCUGCUGUAGUCGUCAAUAAACUUCUCAACGGGAAGCUUUGUUCCAAAUCACCCAGUGCUUUCAGCAAAAUGUCAUUGGAGAGAGAUGUUGCUAAAUGUUCCUAGACAGCAGUUAAAUUGGAGAGGAAGAGAAAAAAAAUGAAGAAAAUUGCCAGAAGUCCUGCUGAACUAUUAAUCACAAAGAACACACUAGGGCUUUCUGAAUACAAAGAAACGCACCACAGCUUUGCAGAAACACCAGUUGUGAAUGCAUCACCAUUCUCUGCAGAUCUGUCAGAGCUGCUGUGGGGAAGCUGGAAAAUCUUAAGAUGGAUUUAGCUUCUCACACACUGCUUCUCACUCUUUUUUUCUGAGGCCAAUCUAAAUGGUGUCCAGCAGGAUAAGGUGGUGGGGUAAAAAAUGUGCUUUAGAGUAGUUGUUUUUCAAAUAGGAACAUAAAAUACCUCUAGAGGUAAUAAUGGGAAAAUUUACACUCAUUAUUUUUUCUUUGCCAAUGCUACUGCCAUACUUGUCUACUAACAACAGGCCUACUGCAUACUGCACUGCAGAAACUUGCUGAGGGUUACUGAAGCUCCUGAUAUAGCUGCAUUAUGCACAUUUUGAUACACCCUUAUGUCCCAAUGCUGAAGACCAAGCAAAAUAUCAAGGGCUGUUUUGGUUUGAAUUGGCAGGUGGCUAAGCAUCAGGCAGACAUUCAUUCACUUCCUCUCUUCACAGUGAAAAGAGAGAGAGAAUCAAAAGAAAAAAAAUAACAAGUAGAACAUGUGGAUUGAGAUCAAAGCUAUUUACUAAGAUAGAGAAAAGGAAAAGGGAGGAAAAAAAAAAAAAAGGAUAAUAGUUAUGACAAAUAUAUAUAUAUAUAUAUGUAUAUAUAUAACAAACAAUGCACAGACAAUUGCUCACUGCCUGCUGACUGAUGUUGAGGUAGCCCACUGACCCCAAUGACAGGAAGCCUGAUGAACUCCCAUCUUUUUCAAACUUUCCUUCCACACGAUGUCAUAUGGUAUGGAAUAUCCCUUUGUCCAGUUCAGAUCAGAUGUACUGAUUCUGUCCCUCACACCUCCUUGGGGUCCCCUAGUGCCUCACUGGCAAGACAGUACAAGAAAAUGAAAAAACUAAACAUCUUUGGCUCUGUACAGCACUGUUCAGCAACAAUUAAACUAUUGGUGUGUUAUCAGCAUUGUUUUUGUCUUAAAACCAAAACAUAGCAUCAUAUCAGGCACUAUGAAGAAAAACAACAGUGUCAGCUGGAACUAAGCCAUCAGAAGCAAAGACAAAGCUAUGGGGAAGAUAAAAGAGCAUAUUGGUUAUGAAUAACAGGAAUUUAUACCUCAAACAACUGGUAUCACAUGUAGCAAAGUAUAUAGUAAGGUGGCACAAGUUCUAAUAACUUGAAAUUUUAUAUAAAAAAAAAUAGCGACCAAGCUACUUCCAUGGUCCUAUAAUUAUAAAAUGGUAAGAAAUCAGCAGUGUAUUUUUUGAGAGGAAUUCAGAUGACCCAAAAGCAAACUGCCUUUACUUUAUUAAUCUUUGAGAACAGCCCAUUUAUUUCAAACAUUUUUGCAAGAUAGGGAGAUAGGGGAGAGGGAAAGUAGCCUAGCAGAAGUUUUAAAAAUCCUUUGAAAAUCUGUUUCAGCAUUUUAAUAGACCAGUGAGGGAAAUUACACAGAGUCUUGGAAAAUGAUGUUUACAGAACUCGUCCUACCCAUUGCAGCUGAUAAAAACUUUAAAACCAGUCUGUGAUUCAAUUAAAUAGAAAAGUAGAGGGGUUUUUUGGCAUAGAAACUAAAUUAUAUCAGCUAUGUGAACCACUUGUCAGGAAUCUAGCAGCUGUUUUCUUGAAUUCACUGACAGCCAAGGGAAAACUAAAGCUGUAAGAGUUACAAGCUGCUCGCUAAUUCAUCUGUUCUUUUACACAGGAAAAAUCUGAAACUCUCCAACACCCACUGGAGUGAAAACUCAUCCAUGCCAAAAACCUUUCCACAGGCAGGCUUCAAUAAUCUGCCUAAAAGAUUGCACUUGAGCUUCCCUAAAGAGGGUGCUAGAAUGUGAUAUUAACAGUGAACUGGUUUGUCUCUUCAGAUUAUGCUCCAUUCUGACGAGGAGCAGGGAGGGAGGCCCUGGUUGCACAUUCAGGAGUGGGAAUGAGAGAGGGGACAGAGAUGUAAGUGCUGAACACAUUCCUUAAGAAGGAGCUCCUAACUCUGAUUUUGUGCUCUUAACUCCAUUGGUUUACAGGUUACCCAUGAGAUGAGUGUCCAACCCAUUGCUGCUGUGAACCAGAAGACCAGUCUCCACAGCCUGCUCAAACAACAGCAGUGCUCCAAGGGACUGCUUUGACCCCAUUAAUAUGACAUAUGCAUUCAACCCACCAGUUUUAUAUUCUUGUGGCAACAUUUUUUAUACUUCAAUA